rnacentral:rRNA from 1 species
AGUGAACGCUGGCGGUAGGCCUAACACAUGCAAGUCGAACGGCAGCACAGUAAGAGCUUGCUCUUACGGGUGGCGAGUGGCGGACGGGUGAGGAAUACAUCGGAAUCUACUUUUUCGUGGGGGAUAACGUAGGGAAACUUACGCUAAUACCGCAUACGACCUACGGGUGAAAGCAGGGGAUCUUCGGACCUUGCGCGAUUGAAUGAGCCGAUGUCGGAUUAGCUAGUUGGAGGGGGAAAGGCCCACCAAGGCGACGAUCCGUAGCUGGUCUGAGAGGAUGAUCAGCCACACUGGAACUGAGACACGGUCCAGACUCCUACGGGAGGCAGCAGUGGGGAAUAUUGGACAAUGGGCGCAAGCCUGAUCCAGCCAUACCGCGUGGGUGAAGAAGGCCUUCGGGUUGUAAAGCCCUUUUGUUGGGAAAGAAAAGCAGCAGGUUAAUACCCCGCUGUUCUGACGGUACCCAAAGAAUAAGCACCGGCUAACUUCGUG